UCAACUUCAACAAUAUCAAAUAAUCAAAUUAAACUGUGAACCAUAGACAAUAUUCCCAAACUAUUAACAUUUACAUAAAUUAUUACUUGCAACACUGUAAAUCUGUUAUAUGCUAGCAGCAAUAAUUUUAAAAAAAUUAUACAUGAAUCGUAGUGGCUCGAUGCAUGAUCUAAAGAGCUAAGUAAACCUUUGGAAAAAGAGCUAAGCAGGGUCUCAAAUCGGCACAAAUCAAAAGAGGGAAGCAAAAGGGUUGAAAGCACACAACAAUUGGACUUGAAGCUGGAAUCAGAAGCAGGCGCCGUCGACGGCAAUCACUGGCAUCAGCGGUUGAUUACGGGUCACGGAUCACGGCCCCUUAGCGACCGCGAAGCAGUUGGAGCAGCGGAUCACGACGGCGAAGGGGUGUUGCACAGCACCAGAGCAUCGGACGGCGAGAGAAGAGAGGAGAGGAUAAUGAAUUCUUUUGU
rnacentral:lncRNA from 1 species